GAUGAACGCUGGCGGCGUGCCUAAUACAUGCAAGUCGAGCGAAAAGACGAGGAGCUUGCUCUUCUGAUGUUAGCGGCGGACGGGUGAGUAACACGUGGAUAACAUCCCUAUAAGAAUGGGAUAACUACGGGAAAAUGGCGUUAAUAAAGGAUAACAUGUUGAACCGCACGGAUCAACACCAAAAGACGGUCUUGCUGACACUUAUAGCUCGAUCAGAGCCACUGUAGCUAGUUGGUAAGGUAACGGAUUAACAAGGUCACGAUGCGUGGCCUACCUGAGAGGGUGAUCGGCCGCACUAGAGAGAAGACACGGUGCAGAAUCCUACGUGAGGCAGCGGUCGGAAAUCUUCCGGAAUGGGCAGAGGCCGGACGUGGCAACGCCGCGUGAGUGAAGAGGGGCUACGGAGCGUAAAACACUGUUAUUAGGGAAGAACAAAUGUGUAAGUAUCUAGGCACGACUUGACGGUACCUAAUCAGAAAGCCACGGCUAACUACGUG
rnacentral:rRNA from 1 species